AGUGAACGCUGGCGGUAGGCCUAACACAUGCAAGUCGAACGGCAGCACAGUAAGAGCUUGCUCUUACGGGUGGCGAGUGGCGGACGGGUGAGGAAUACAUCGGAAUCUACUUUUUCGUGGGGGGUAACGUAGGGAAACUUACGCUAAUACCGCAUACGACCUACGGGUGAAAGCAGGGGAUCUUCGGACCUUGCGCGAUUGAAUGAGCCGAUGCCGGAUUAGCUAGUUGGCGGGGUAAAGGCCCACCAAGGCGACGAUCCGUAGCUGGUCUGAGAGGAUGAUCAGCCACACUGGAACUGAGACACGGUCCAGACUCCUACGGGAGGCAGCAGUGGGGAAUAUUGGACAAUGGGCGCAAGCCUGAUCCAGCCAUACCGCGUGGGUGAAGAAGGCCUUCGGGUUGUAAAGCCCUUUUGUUGGGAAAGAAAAGCAGCAGGUUAAUACCCCGCUGUUCUGACGGUACCCAAAGAAUAAGCACCGGCUAACUUCGUG
rnacentral:rRNA from 1 species